AAGUGCCUUCUUGCGAGAGGGCAAGAAAGUUUUCUUUCCUCCUUUGCCCUUACAUUUUUGAUUAAGUGGUACUUGCUUCAGUUCAAGAUAUCUUGUGGACAACGGAGGCAGAGGCCGAUUAUUCCACAGUCUUCUCAGGAACGAUACAUUCUGCUAAUCCCAGCCCUUAUUAGGCUACUCCUUACAAAGCUGAUGCCCUGUCUCCUGAGCACGAUCCCCCGCCCAGUCGGUCAUCUCCGAAGGCCGGAAGCAGAUAUCCUGCACCAGCCGCCCUUGACCUGUCCUUGGGAGGAGAGCCACUGCUGACCUUGAGGGGGAAGACCUGCUACAGAGAAUCGGACUAGCUCACAAGCUGCAGUUGCCUCAUGGGUGCAUUCUUGGUCAGAGACUGAGUCGCCGUCUUGGACACGUCCCCUGAAAAGUUGAUCGGUCAAGACUUGCAGGUGCUGUUUGAACUCACCAUGCGACGAGUCUCAAGGCAUCUCUAUAUUUGAGUUUCUCUCUCUGAGACAGAAUUGGGGAUAAGUGGCCUCUGAGGACCCUUCCCACCAAAGAUCGUCAAGAUUCUCAAUGCGCUGCUGCUGCCGCCGAGGGGUGGGGAGCGUUAGCAGGAAAAGAUGAAAUGAGGGUCUGAGGGUGGAGCCCUGUGGACAGGAUUAGUGGCUUUUUCAGAGUCAGGAGAGAGUUUGCUUCCUCUCUCAUUCCCUCUGCCACGUGAGGACACAGCAGGCAGACAGUGGUCUGCAAGCCAGGAAAAGGCUCUCACCAGAGACCGACCACACUGUACCUUGAUCUUGGACUUCCAGCUUCCAGAACUGUAAGAAGUUCCAACGGCCACCCAGGCUGUCGUACUUUGUUACAGAAGCCUGAACGGAUAAAGAGUCUGAGACGGCAUGAAAUCAAACAUGUCCGGGAGGCUGGGCCUUGUGCUGGCCAGAGAAAGGCUAGGAGGCUGGUCUCUGUAGGUGCCAGCAAGACCACUCAGCUCUCCUGGCGGAACUGACCAGCCCGCCAAUGAGCAGAGUCCAAUCAUCAGCCCAUAAUGUGACUACGGAAGGAGCCGGUAGCUUCCCGGUCCAUCUGGGUGCUAUCCCAGGAGACCAUUGAGUGGAAUCUCUUGGCCAGUGGGACUAGAAGCAUCCCAGGCAUCCUUGCUUCAUUAAGCUGAAAACCACCAGGCUCUUGUGAGGGCAUCUGUGUAGGGCGCUGGCCCAAAAUGAAGCCACUACUUCGCAGAGUGUUUGCUGUGAUUCAGGAGCAAACAGGGAAGGGCAGAAGCAGAAGGAGAGAGAGAGAGAGAAAAUCUCAAGCAGGAUUCACGUUCACUCGGAGCCUGACUUGGGGCUCAGUCCCAUGACCCUAAGAUCUUGACCUCAGCGGAAGUCAUGAGUCUGAUGCUCAAUCAUCUCUGUGCCUUGAUAACUUUUUCUUUUUUUAAUUUUGGAAGAAAAAUUUAAAUAACAAUGUAUAAAUUAACUACGAUGGACAUUGCAGACUGUGAUAACACAGAAAAUGCUAUGGAAGAUGGGGCACCUGGUGAAAUAAGCAGAGAGAGUCAAUUAUCAUAUGGUUUCACUUACUUGUGGAGCAUAAGGAAUAACAUGGAGGACAUGGGCAGAUGGAGAAGAGAAGGGAAUUGGGGGAAAUGGAGGGGGAUACAAACCAUUUGAGACUGUGGACUCUGAGAAACAAACUGAGGGCUUUGGAGGGAGGUGUGAGGGGGUUGGGUGAGCCUGGUGGUGGGUACUCAGGAGGGCACAGAUUGCAUGGAGCACUGGGUAUGGUGCAUAAACGAUGAGUCUUGGAACACUGAAAAAAUAAAAUUAAAAAAUGAAAAAAUAGAAAAUGUUUGCUAUCUACGUAAUGAAAAAAGCUGAAUUAAAAUGUGUUUCUGUAGUUUGAGUGUGGCCGCUUAAACAAGGCCAUAUGAUUUAGGGGAUGUACAGCCCAGACAGAUAGCCUAUCAAGUACAUCAAGGAUUGGAUCAAAAGCAUGUAGAUAGCAUACGAAGUACAUGAGAUGUGUUUAUUGAACUGGGGAAUGGGUGGAUAAGUAACUGAUAAGUGUCCAGGAAAGACUGUAGGGAAGUAUGGAAAACAAUUUUGAGAAGGAAGCAGCAGAUGAGUGAUUUCAAAAUUUUCACAACUCUUCUCUAUUUUCCAAAUUUACUUUAACAAGUUCAUAUUAAUUUUUUUAAAAUGAUUAAAUAGAAUCUGAUUAUAAAUCAGGCUUCCAGCUUUGGGUCCUGCAGGGACCUACAAGAGGUCCCAGAAGAGAAGACCAGAUCCAGGACACAAAGCAUUCUGCAAAACCGUGAUCAGGAUUCUUCCAGAGACACUGUCAUGGGGGGAACAGAGGUGGGGGGGACUUGUAGACGAAAAGGGAGUAAAGCGACAGCCCCAACCAGAACCUAAUGUGCAGCCCCAACCAGAACCUAAUGUGCAGCCCCAACCAGAACCUAAUGUGGGUCCAAAUUGGGUCCUACUAUAGGAUAUAUAGGAGAUAUAGAUCUCGAAUAUAUUCUUGGGAUAAUUGGAAAAAUCAGGCUUCAGUCUGGAUAUCGGUAGUAUUAUAAAUGUAUUUGUACGUUUUUCAGUGUAACACUGGCUAUAGAGUAGAACAUACUUCUUUGUAGGAGAUAUAGGUAGGUGUCUAUAAUCUAAAUAUCAUGAGGCUUCCAGCCUCCAAACAGUUGAAAAAUCUCAAAUACAGAAAAAAAAAAAUGUGUGUUUGAAAAGAUACAGAGGGAGACAGCAAAUAUGGCCAAAUGGUAGCAGUUGGUAGAACCGAACUGUAGUAAAAAUAAUUAAAUAAAAUAAAUAAAUGAAUAAAUAAAUAAAUAAAAGUAUUUAUUGCAUGACUUUUUUUUGGCAUUUCUAUAUGCUUUUAAGUUUUCAUAAAAAAAACUUGGGAGAAGAUUUUAAAGUAAAUGGAGGUACAUAUAAAUGUGUACACACAAACCUACACAGAGCUGUACAGGCACAGUCAGUCUCCUCUGCUCUCUGGGUGAUAGGAAGAAGGAUGGGCCCAGAAGCUGUGAUGGAGUCACUCCAGGUAGCAGAGGGCUAAGGUCCUGCAGUCCAUCCCAUUUCCAUGGUACCUGCCUCCUGGUCUCCUCUAGGCUGAGAGUCCCAUCUGCUCACCAGAAGUUGCCUCCCCAUUCAGAGCGGAGUUCAUUCCUCGGAUUUGUCCUGGCAAGGAGGAAACAGGAGAGGCUGGGUCUUGAUCCCUACUCUGGGACAAUCUUCAGAAACCAGGAAGGCAUCCACAGACUCCCUGGCAUUUAUGACAGCACUUUCAGGAAGGGUCUCGUGGUGGUUUUCCAUUCUUCUCCAUAGCCUGCAGGGGAAACUCUGUGUGUGUGUGUGUGUGUGUGUGUGUGUGUGUUGGUGUGGGGGUCCUGGGAGAAAGGCAGGGUAACCACUCAAAGGAGAAACUGGUGGACUGGAACUCCAUAAGACCCAAGGGAAUCCCUAGGGAAGAGAGUACCAUGGAAAUGUGGUCAUCUCAGGCAGGGGUUGGGGGGUGCUGACAGCAGAGAGAGGUGCCCCAGGUGUAGAGUGUACAGAAGGUCCCUGAGUUGUAGGGUGUACAUGCUACACAGCAAUGCUCAAUCAUCAGAGAAUAAUCAGAAUAAUUUAAUUAUAGGAUAUAAUUACAUACAGUCUUUUUUAAAGAUGUAAUUCACAGAUCAUAAAGUUCACCUGUUAACAGUGUGCGAUUCAGUGUUUUCGGAGGUUUAUGCAACCAUCACCAACAUCUAAUUCCAGAAUGUUGCCAUCACUCCCCCUGAAAAAGCGUACCUAUUACCAGCCACUCCCCAUUUUCUCCUCCACCCAGCAAUCACUAAUCUUUCUCUCUGUUUGGAUUUGCCUAUUCUGGACAUUUGAAACGAAUGGAAUCACACAGUAUGUGGUCUUUUGGAUCUUUCUUACUGGGUGUGAGCAGUCAGCAUUCAAGCAUGUUGUCAUGUGUAUCAGUACUUUGUUCCUUUGUCUGGAUGAACAGAUUACCUGUUGCUUAUCCAUUUGGCAGUUGAUUGAAAUUUGUGUCAUUUCUAGUUUUUGUCUGUUAUGUAUCCUGUUGCUAUGACCAUUUGUGUAAAUUGUGAGUUUGGAUAUAUGUUUUCAAUUCUCUUAGUGACAUACUUCAGGGUGGUACUUCUUAGUCAUUUGAGGACUUCUAGACUUUUCCAAAGUAGCUGCACCAUUGACAAUCCUGCCAUCAAUCAGUUUCUAUAUAUUCUCAAAAACGCUUGUUAUUUUCUCUCUUAUAGCUAUUCUAGUGGGUGUGAAGUAGUUUUGAUUUGCAAUAUAUAUAUAUAUUCUGUUGAAAUCCUCUGCAUAUUUUUAGAUUGGGCUAUUUGCAUUUUUGAUUCUGUGAAAUUCUUUGUAUAUUCUGGAUACUACACACUUAUGAUUUGAUUUUUUUUUCACAUUCUGUGCAUUGUCUUUCCAAUUGUUCAGUAGUUUUCUUUGCACCAUAAAAGUUGUUCAUUUUGAUGAAGUCAAAUUUAUGUGGGGUUUCCUGUGAUUGCUUUUACUUAAGGUAUCACAUUUAAAAAACUAUUGCCUAAUCAGAGGAAAUGAACCUAUGUUCCCAUCUAAAAGUUUUAUAGCCUUAGCUCUUACAUUUAAACCUUUGAUCCAUUUGAGUUAAUUUCUGUAUAUGGUGUGAGGUAGGGGGUCAAACUUCUUUCUUUGCAUGUAGAAAUCUAUUUGGAGCACCAUUUGAUGAAAUAUCUUGGCAUUCUUGUUGAAAAUCAAUCAACAAUAAAUAUUUGGUUUUAUUGCUGGACACUUAAAUCUAUUCCACUAAUCCAUGUCUAUUCUUUUUUUUUUUUUUUAA